rnacentral:rRNA from 1 species
ACGAACGCUGGCGGCAUGCCUAACACAUGCAAGUCGAACGAGACCUUCGGGUCUAGUGGCGCACGGGUGCGUAACGCGUGGGAACCUGCCCUUAGGUUCGGAAUAACUCCCCGCAAGGGGUGCUAAUACCGGAUAAUGUCUUCGGACCAAAGAUUUAUCGCCUUUGGAUGGGCCCGCGUUGGAUUAGCUAGUUGGUAGGGUAAAAGCCUACCAAGGCGACGAUCCAUAGCUGGUCUGAGAGGAUGAUCAGCCACACUGGGACUGAGACACGGCCCAGACUCCUACGGGAAGCAGCAGUGGGGAAUAUUGGACAAUGGGCGAAAGCCUGAUCCAGCAAUGCCGCGUGAGUGAUGAAGGCCUUAGGGUUGUAAAGCUCUUUUACCCGGGAUGAUAAUGACAGUACCGGGAGAAUAAGCUCCGGCUAACUCCGUG